rnacentral:tRNA from 1 species
CCUGGUGGCUCAGAGGUUAAAGCAUCUGCCUGCAAUGUGGAAGACCUGGGUUCAAUCCCUGAGUCAGGA